GACGUAGGGUGCGAGCGUUGUCCGGAAUUAUUGGGCGUAAAGGGCUCGUAGGCGGUUUGUCGCGUCGGGAGUGAAAACCUCGGGCUUAACUCGGGGCUUGCUUUCGAUACGGGCAGACUGGAGGUAUGCAGGGGAGAACGGAAUUCCUGGUGUAGCGGUGAAAUGCGCAGAUAUCAGGAGGAACACCGGUGGCGAAGGCGGUUCUCUGGGCAUGACCUGACGCUGAGGAGCGAAAGUGUGGGGAGCGAACAGG
rnacentral:rRNA from 1 species